rnacentral:rRNA from 1 species
UCAUUCAGUUGGGUCACUCUAGCGAGACUGCCGGUAAGUAAAUCGGAGGAAGGUGGGGAGUGACGUCAAAUACAUCAUGCCCUUACUGACCUGGGCGUACACACGUGCUACAAUGGUUGGUACAACGAGUUGCGAGUCGGUGACGGCGAGCUAAUCUCUUAAAGCCAAUCUCAGUUCGGAUUGUAGGCUGCAACUCGCCUACAUGAAGUCGGAAUCGCUAGUAAUCGCGGAUCAGCACGCCGCGGUGAAUACGUUCCCGGGCCUU